GGAAAUUCCUAAAGGAAAUAGCAAUCUAUAACAACUUAAACAUUCCUCUGCGAUCCUUGUGGCUUGCCUGAGGGAGGAAAGGUCAUUCACACACAUAGAGCAUAAAUAACCUUAAAAUCGAGUCACUGGCAACCUCUACUGAUGUCCAAGCUUCCGCUGGCCCUUGGCCACCUACACACCGUGGCUGCAUUCACACCUGUGGGCUCCAAGCAAAGCACAAACCCCCAGUCCUCCAAAACCUCUAUGGUUUAUUUUGGUCAGCUCGUAGCUGGCUCUGCCCUCUGACUCCAAGCAAGCUUUAUCUGUCAGAACACAAUCAAAAUAUCACACAACAGAUGACUACAUCAGAACUGAGUUUUCCAGACACACAAGUGCAGCUGGACAUACGAACUCACAGACGUUGUGACAGAUGAACAAGGAACAAAGGGAAGCCAGGCAAAAUGCUAACACUGGUGGGAAGUUUCGUGAGGAAAAGCCCUGGAUUCCUUGGAACAUGCUUUGUUGACCAGGCAGACCUCAAACUCACAAGAUCUGCCUACCCUGCCUCCGAGUGCUAGGAUUAAAGGCACACCACCACCAUUGCCUCAUUGCAUCUUGACGUUUCAAUGAGAGCUCCAUGUCUGGUGUGGGAGCAUGCUCUCUGUGAUGUCAUGGUCUUCCUCACAUCUGAAGAAAUGUUCCAGUGUGCCUGCUGUGAAGCUCAG
rnacentral:lncRNA from 1 species